UACGGAGGGAGCUAGCGUUGUUCGGAAUUACUGGGCGUAAAGCGCACGUAGGCGGCUUUGUAAGUUAGAGGUGAAAGCCCGGGGCUCAACUCCGGAACUGCCUUUAAGACUGCAUCGCUUGAAUCCAGGAGAGGUGAGUGGAAUUCCGAGUGUAGAGGUGAAAUUCGUAGAUAUUCGCAAGAACACCAGUGGCGAAGGCGGCUCACUGGCCCGGUACUGACGCUGAGGGGCGAAAGCGUGGGGAGCAAACAGG
rnacentral:rRNA from 1 species